rnacentral:rRNA from 1 species
GAUGAACGCUGGCGGCGUGCCUAACACAUGCAAGUCGAGUGAUUCUCUUCGGAGAAGAGCGGCGGACGGGUGAGUAACGCGUGGGUAACCUGCCCUGUACACACGGAUAACAUACCGAAAGGUAUGCUAAUACGAGAUAAUAUACUUUUAUCGCAUGGUAGAAGUAUCAAAGCUUUUGCGGUACAGGAUGGACCCGCGUCUGAUUAGCUAGUUGGUAAGGUAACGGCUUACCAAGGCGACGAUCAGUAGCCGACCUGAGAGGGUGAUCGGCCACAUUGGAACUGAGACACGGUCCAAACUCCUACGGGAGGCAGCAGUGGGGAAUAUUGCACAAUGGGCGGAAGCCUGAUGCAGCAACGCCGCGUGAGCGAUGAAGGCCUUCGGGUCGUAAAGCUCUGUCCUCAAGGAAGAUAAUGACGGUACUUGAGGAGGAAGCCCCGGCUAACUACGUGCCAGCCGCCGCAGUAACAC